GAUGAACGCUGGCGGCGUGCCUAAUACAUGCAAGUCGAGCGAACGGACGAGAAGCUUGCUUCUCUGAUGUUAGCGGCGGACGGGUGAGUAACACGUGGAUAACCUACCUAUAAGACUGGGAUAACUUCGGGAAACCGUAGCUAAUACCGGAUAAUAUUUUGAACCGCAUGGUUCAAAAGUGAAAGACGGUCUUGCUGUCACUUAUAGAUGGAUCCGCGCUGCAUUAGCUAGUUGGUAAGGUAACGGCUUACCAAGGCAACGAUGCAUAGCCGACCUGAGAGGGGGAUCGGCCACACUGGAGCUGGAACACGGUCCAGAGUCCUACGGGAGGCAGCAGUAGGGUAUCUUACGCAGUGGGCGAAAACCUGACGGAGCAACGCCGCGUGAGUGGUGAAGGUCUUCGGAUCGUAAAACUCUGUUAUUAGGGAAGAACAUAUGUGUAAGUAACUGUGCACAUCUUGACGGUACCUAAUCAGAAAGCAACGGCUAACUACGUG
rnacentral:rRNA from 1 species